rnacentral:rRNA from 1 species
GAUGAACGCUGGCGGCGUGCCUAAUACAUGCAAGUCGAGCGAACAGAUAAGGAGCUUGCUCCUUUGAAGUUAGCGGCGGACGGGUGAGUAACACGUGGGUAACCUACCUAUAAGACUGGGAUAACUUCGGGAAACCGGAGCUAAUACCGGAUAACAUUUAGAACCGCAUGGUUCUAAAGUGAAAGAUGGUUUUGCUAUCACUUAUAGAUGGACCCGCGCCGUAUUAGCUAGUUGGUAAGGUAACGGCUUACCAAGGCGAGGAUACGUAGCCGACCUGAGAGGGUGAUCGGCCACACUGGAACUGAGACACGGUCCAGACUCCUACGGGAGGCAGCAGUAGGGAAUCUUCCGCAAUGGGCGAAAGCCUGACGGAGCAACGCCGCGUGAGUGAUGAAGGGUUUCGGCUCGUAAAACUCUGUUAUUAGGGAAGAACAAAUGUGUAGGUAACUGUGCACAUCUUGACGGUACCUAAUCAGAAAGCCACGGCUAACUACGUGCCAGCAGCCGCCGUAA